rnacentral:rRNA from 1 species
GUGAACGCCGCGUGAGGGAUGAAGGCCUCUGGGCUGUAAACCUCUUUUCUCAAGGAAGAAGACUGACGGUACUUGAGAGAAUAAGCCACGGCUAAUUCCGUGUCAGCAGCCGCGGUAAUACGGGAGUGGCAAGCGUUAUCCGGAAUUAUUGGGCGUAAAGCGUCCGCAGGCGGCCUCGUAAGUCUGUCGUUAAAGCGUGGAGCUUAACUCCAUUUCAGCGAUGGAAACUGUGAGGCUUGAGUGUGGUAGGGGCAGAGGGAAUUCCCGGUGUAGCGGUGAAAUGCGUAGAUAUCGGGAAGAACACCAGUGGCGAAGGCGCUCUGCUGGGCCAUAACUGACGCUCAUGGACGAAAGCCAGGGGAGCGAAAGGGAUUAGAUACCCCUGUAGUCCUGGCCGUAAACGAUGAACACUAGGUGUCGGGGGAAUCGACCCCCUCGGUGUCGUAGCCAACGCGUUAAGUGUUCCGCCUGGGGAGUACGCACGCAAGUGUGAAACUCAAAGGAAUUGACGGGGUGCCGCACAAGCGGUGGAGUAUGUGGUUUAAUUCGAUGCAACGCGAAAGAACUUAC